rnacentral:rRNA from 1 species
ACUCCUACGGGAGGCAGCAGUGGGGAAUAUUGCACAAUGGGCGCAAGCCUGAUGCAGCCAUGCCGCGUGUGUGAAGAAGGCCUUCGGGUUGUAAAGCACUUUCAGUCGUGAGGAAGGUAGUGUAGUUAAUAGCUGCAUUACUUGACGUUAGCGACAGAAGAAGCACCGGCUAACUCCGUGCCAGCAGCCGCGGUAAUACGGAGGGUGCGAGCGUUAAUCGGAAUUACUGGGCGUAAAGCGCAUGCAGGUGGUUUGUUAAGUCAGAUGUGAAAGCCCGGGGCUCAACCUCGGAAUAGCAUUUGAAACUGGCAGACUAGAGUACUGUAGAGGGGGGUAGAAUUUCAGGUGUAGCGGUGAAAUGCGUAGAGAUCUGAAGGAAUACCGGUGGCGAAGGCGGCCCCCUGGACAGAUACUGACACUCAGAUGCGAAAGCGUGGGGAGCAAACAGGAUUAGAUACCCUGGUAGCACAGAG